GAUGAACGCUAGCGGCAGGCUUAACACAUGCAAGUCGAGGGGUAACAGGGAGGAGCUUGCUUUUCCGCUGACGACCGGCGCACGGGUGCGUAACGCGUAUAGAACCUACCUUUUACAGGGGAAUAGCCCAGAGAAAUUUGGAUUAAUGCCCCAUAGUAUUAUUGAAUGGCAUCAUUUAAUAAUUAAACAUUUAUGGGUAAAAGAUGGCUAUGCGUUCUAUUAGCUAGAUGGUAAGGUAACGGCUUACCAUGGCAACGAUAGAUAGGGGUCCUGAGAGGGAGAUCCCCCACACUGGUACUGAGACACGGACCAGACUCCUACGGGAGGCAGCAGUGAGGAAUAUUGGACAAUGGAGGCAACUCUGAUCCAGCCAUGCCGCGUGCAGGAAGACGGUCCUAUGGAUUGUAAACUGCUUUUAUAUAGGAAGAAACCUUUCCACGUGUGGAAAGCUGACGGUACUAUAAGAAUAAGCACCGGCUAACUCCGUGCCAGCAGCCGCGGUAAUACGGAGGGUGCAAGCGUUAUCCGGAAUCAUUGGGUUUAAAGGGUCCGUAGGCGGACUAAUAAGUCAGGGGUGAAAUCCAACAGCUUAACUGUUGAACUGCCUUUGAUACUGUUAGUCUUGAGUUAUAUGGAAGUAGAUAGAAUAUGUAGUGUAGCGGUGAAAUGCUUAGAGAUUACAUAGAAUACCGAUUGCGAAGGCAGUCUACUACGUAUAUACU
rnacentral:rRNA from 1 species